ACUCAAAUGAAUAGACGGGGGCCCGCACAAGCAGUGGAGCAUGUGGUUUAAUUCGAUGCAACGCGAAGAACCUUACCCAGGCUCGAAAUGUAAUGGCUAGUACCAGAAAUGGUAUGUUCCGCAAGGACUGUUAUAUAGGUGCUGCAUGGCUGUCGUCAGCUCGUGCCGUGAGGUGUUUGGUUAAGUCCAGCAACGAGCGCAACCCUUAUCAUUAGUUGCCAACAUUUAAGGUGGGGACUCUAAUGAGACUGCCUGGGUUAACCAGGAGGAAGGUGAGGAUGACGUCAAGUCCGCAUGGCCUUUAUGUCUGGGGCUACACACGUGCUACAAUGGUCGGUACAGAAGGCAGCAAGACCGCAAGGUGGAGCAAAUCCCUAAAGCCGAUCUCAGUUCAGAUUGUCGUCUGCAACUCGACGACAUGAAGUUGGAAUUGCUAGUAAUGACGUGUCAGCUACAACGUCGUGAAUACGUUCCCGGGCCUUGUACACACCGCCCGU
rnacentral:rRNA from 1 species